AAGACGUUCUUCAAAUAACACACACACGUCGACACGUCACUCGGGGUGCCUGAUUUCAAAUGAUUUGAAAUUCGGUCGAGUGUAUGGGAUGUGUGGAGGCCUAAC
rnacentral:sRNA from 1 species